GGCAUGUGGGGGCACGUCAGCUGAGCACUCGGCAGUGCAGGCUGCAAGCUCGCGUAUAUUUCACAUUAUGCGCAUGACGUGUACUUCAGACUUGGAAUAAACGGUAAUUUGACAGGGGCACACGACAUUGCGCUGACAACAGUCGACAUCAUAGACAAGUAUACUAUAAUCGACAUUUCGCGACUUGUGCACUCGUGACUCGUCGCAAUAUCGUUCCAUGUGAAAGACUACGCACGCACUCGAUCGCGAGUAAUAAACUACAACUGUAUGAUCGCGACACGCCGACCGAACGAAGACCGUCUGAUAAUAAAUAAUUAUAAUAUUGUACACGACAACUGUCUACUGUGAAGAACGCCGCCGAAAAUACCCACGUAAAAUAUUUAUUUUACACACGCACGCACGGAUUGUGUAGUGUUUACUCGUUUUCGGAUUAAUUUUAUACCUAUUCGUAGGUAUCGAUAUAUCGUUGUUUUUGUAUAUCGUUUACAACUGUACGCGGCGACGCCAUCGAAGCCAUAUCGCACGCAACCACCGGCGCCGCAAUAGUUAAUUUCAUGGUCGUGACUCGUGGACUCUGCAGGUGUCAGCGUUCCCCUGUUCAGUUGUCACUCGCCGAAUACGCGCACCGACGCCGCCGCAGCCGCCAUAUUGUACUGUGCACCAUCCAGACGGCCAAAGUUUAUUAGUAAAAGAAAUGGAUGCCUUAGUUGAUAUGGAAAUAUGCCGAAUGAGGCCAGGAGUAGUCACAUUAGAUGGCUUGUUGUAUGUGGAGAAGUGGAAAUAUCCACUAUAAAUACUGUAGAAAUUUACAACCCAAUCACCAAUACUUGGAUCAUGGAGAAAUUGUCAAGACUUGGAGUGCACAUUUGUGGUGGGGUAGUCGUUGAUAUCCCACCACAUUAGUAAUAAUCAGCAUACAGAAUGAUUUCACUGUUGUGGAAGUAAUAUGAACUUAUUUUUGUAUAAUUUAUGAUGAAAUGUGAUUUAUUCUUUAUAUUUUUGUGAAUGUGAAUGUUUUUUUUUAUAAUUUAAAUUGAUUAUUUAAUUAAUUAAAUAAAUAAGUUAUAAAGUUAAUCAUAUUACAGUAUAUCAGCAAAAACUUA